AUACGUAGGUGGCAAGCGUUGUCCGGAAUUACUGGGUGUAAAGGGAGCGUAGGCGGGAAGGCAAGUCAGAUGUGAAAUCCACAGGCUUAACUUGUGACGUGCAUUUGAAACUGUUUUUCUUGAGUGAAGUAGAGGCAGGCGGAAUUCCGAGUGUAGCGGUGAAAUGCGUAGAUAUUCGGAGGAACACCAGUGGCGAAGGCGGCCUGCUGGGCUUUUACUGACGCUGAGGCUCGAAAGCAUGGGUAGCAAACAGGAUUAGAUACCCUGGUAGUCCAUGCCGUAAACGAUGAUUGCUAGGUGUGGGUGGGCUGACCCCAUCCGUGCCGGAGUAAACACAAUAAGUAAUCCACCUGGGGAGUACGGCCGCAAGGUUGAAACUCAAAUGAAUUGACGGGG
rnacentral:rRNA from 1 species